UAACAGCUACAUAUAUAUAAACAAACAAUUACACUAAAAUAUAACCAAUGAUGGAAUACAAGAAUAUUGACAAAAAGGUUCAUACAUUUACAAAAGGGAAAAACCAAUAAAAAUUAUAUAUUACAUCCUACUAAGCAAUACCUAAUUUGGCUGUGAUGAGUGAUGGUGUAAAAGUCAAUGUAUGUAAAUGAAGGUGUGUUUGUGGGGCAAGCUCAUGAUGCAGAGCAUUCUGAGUUCUCAGUUUGUUGCUGCAUCACGUUAUAAGAUGAAAUACACUGUACUGUUCAUAGUUUCUUGUUAUAUCGGACUCACUCACGAAUAUAUCGCACCCCAGGGACAUACAAAGAAUAGUACUUAUAUGCCGCAGACCACGCAUAAUUCUACUC